rnacentral:rRNA from 1 species
UACGAAGGGGGCUAGCGUUGUUCGGAAUUACUGGGCGUAAAGCGCGCGCAGGUGGUCUUUCAAGUCAGUGGUGAAAGCCCGGAGCUCAACUCCGGAAAUGCCAUUGAAACUGUAAGACUUGAGGAUGAGAGAGGUGAGUGGAAUUCCCAGUGUAGAGGUGAAAUUCGUAGAUAUUGGGAAGAACACCGGUGGCGAAGGCGGCUCACUGGCCCGAUACUGACGCUGAGGCACGAAAGCGUGGGGAGCAAACAGG